rnacentral:rRNA from 1 species
UACGUAGGGGGCAAGCGUUGUCCGGAGUUACUGGGCGUAAAGGGCGCGCAGGCGGUCUGCUAAGUUCGGAGUGACAGUCAUCAGCUUAACUGGUGAAGUACUUUGAAAACUGGCGGACUUGAGAGCGAGAGAGGGACAUGGAAUUCCGGGUGGAGCAGUGAAAUGCGUAGAGAUCUGGAGGAACACCAAAGGCGCAGGCAGUGUCCUGGUUCGUAUCUGACGCUCAGGCGCGAAAGCCAGGGGAGCGAAC